rnacentral:rRNA from 1 species
CAGCAGCCGCGGGAACACGGAGGGUGCAAGCGUUAUCCGGAUUCACUGGGUUUAAAGGGUGCGUAGGCGGAUCUGUAAGUCAGUGGUGAAAUCUCCAGGCUUAACCUGGAAACUGCCGUUGAUACUAUAGGUCUUGAAUUUUGUGGAGGUUAGCGGAAUAUGUCAUGUAGCGGUGAAAUGCAUAGCUAUGACAUAGAACACCAAUUGCGAAGGCAGCUGGCUACACAACUAUUGACGCUGAGGCACGAAAGCGUGGGGAUUAAACAGGAUUAGAUACCCCGGUAGUCCCUGUCUCUUAUAC